CAACAAGAGAAAUAAUGUGCCAAGACAAAGUUCUCUGUAUGGCAAUCUUUAAUGUAUGGCACUGAAUAUAUAUGGGAAAACCCAAGGACCCAUCCCUUUGUUUUGGCUGGGUUCUGUUGCUAGUUUCAGCUGGAUUGAAUUGCAGAGUAGGCCCUUCAGCAGCUCAGAGGCAGUUCUCAGUUCUCUGGCAGGAAGAUGUAAAUAUAGCAAAACCAGACUCCAGGCUCCUGUAACCUGCCCCCCUCAGCCUGAAACCUGGUUGCUCAGGUUUCACUGUUAGCAAGAAGAGAGCAUGGGGUGGAGCCUGUCGCCCUAUCGUUCUGCCACUCCCACUGCUGCUGCCUGCCGCCUAGCUGUUCCGGAGCCAAACACAUGGUCACCUGAAACUGGACUCUAGGAUGAUUUGGCAGGAAUGGGCCCCUCCCCACUCCUUCAUAACUCAGUGCACCGAAUAGCAAAAUGGAGCUUUGAUCAGAAUCUGGUUGUCUUAGCUCCGUUCUUUCUCUCGUCAGUCUAGUUCCCUUUCUUUCAGCUCGAGUCUGCCACUUCAGCCAUACCCUAUUCCUCACGAGCCGAGCCACUGGACGGCACGCAACAGUUUGGCACCUGAACAGGGACUUGAAGAAUGGCAGAAGGAUGCUGAGAGAACGCUGUUCGUGUGGCGCUCCACAGGAAAAGCAAAUGGUCUUCAUAUUGGGCACUGGAGCAACAAACAGGAGAAGAAGAUGGAGCACGAUGGCUGCCCGAGAGAUUAAUUCAUCAGCUGAACACAGAUCCUGAAUCUUCUUGUAAGUAUCACUCUGAGGGCUAAAAUUCCUCUUUUGCCUAGAAAUCAGUUGGGAACACAGGCUCCCAGAAAAGUUGUUUUCUUGCAACUCUCAGAGCCAGCUCCCCCAUAAGGAGUCUGGAGACUGAGCUUGAGCCUUGCUAAUUUGCAACUGAAUAAAGUACCUGGACUUCCCCCAAAAGAAGUUUUGCAUUGUUACCUUCUCAUUGUCUGGAUCUCCUUUUUUUUUCAAGCAGGUCAAUCAACACGCUUCAGCCAGACUGCAUGGGCGUGCAUCCCUGCCCCCAAGAGCAUGCAGGAAGCAGCUACUAAUUUUCAUUCUAAAGACAUUCC
rnacentral:lncRNA from 1 species